rnacentral:rRNA from 1 species
AGAGUUUGAUCCUGGCUCAGAUUGAACGCUGGCGGCAUGCUUUACACAUGCAAGCCGAACGGCAGCACGGGUGCUUGCACCUGGUGGCGAGUGGCGAACGGGUGAGUAAUGCACCGGAACGUACCCAGUAAUGGGGGAUAACACAUCGAAAGAUGUGCUAAUACCGCAUACGCCCUGAGGGGGAAAGCGGGGGAUCGUAAGACCUCGCGUUAUUGGAGCGGCCGAUGCCGGAUUAGCUAGUUGGUGAGGUAAGAGCUCACCAAGGCGACGAUCCGUAGCUGGUCUGAGAGGACGACCAGCCACACUGGGACUGAGACACGGCCCAGACUCUUACGGGAGGCAGCAGUGGGGAAUUUUGGACAAUGGGCGCAAGCCUGAUCCAGCCAUGCCGCGUGAGUGAAGAAGGCCUUCGGGUUGUAAAGCUCUUUCGCAAGGAAAGAAAACUUAUCUACUAA